rnacentral:lncRNA from 1 species
UGCAAAACAUCCGCUAGUCUCUGUUAUUAUAUUAAUUGACCUUAGCAAAUCAACCAUAUUUAUUCUCACACCCUCUCAAGAAUUUAGGGUAUGUUUGGUUAAGAAAAGUUAGACUCUGAAAUGGAAAUGAGAAUGAGUUACUCCUAUUUCAUCCAUUUGAAAUUGAGAGGAAUCUUAUUCUCAUUUUGAUUCAGAAGAGAAUUGAAAUGUCUC